GGUCUAUUGGCGGAGUGGUUUCGAGCGCUGCUCUUACAAUUGUUCCGAACCUUAUUGGCUGCACUGGUUGUUCGCGAGGUCGUGGGUUCGAUUCCCGCUCGGGGCA